rnacentral:lncRNA from 1 species
AUGCAGACCAUCCCCCCAGUCACCCCCCAGCUGUUAACCCGGUCACGGAUCCGUGCCAAGCCAGGGCAGAGGGUCCCCUGGCACCCCUGCACCGGGCAGAGCACCCACGGGGCAUCAGCUGCUGCCGAAAGCAGGACACGGCAGUCUGGGGCACAGGGACAGACGGGGGCACCGGCAGCAUGGGGGGUGCAGGUACACGGCCCCCACCUCUCCCAGCCCCCCUGCCCUGAGUGCAGCCCCUUCCCAUGUUCUGCCUGUGGGGCAAGAGUUGAACACUCCCCCAUCCCUUUGGGCUGCAGCCCCCUGCAGCCCUGCCUCAGUUUCCCCAUCCCUCUGCAGCACUCACGCUGUACCCCAGAGUCGCAGGGACGUUUUCCCAAGUCGGGACCCCCAUGCUGGCUCCUGCCCCCCUGCUCCCUGCCAGCUCGAGCACCGCCAGGCCUGGCAGCGUGUUGGUGCAGGCAAGACCUGGUGCUGCCAGUCCCAGCUCGUCCCUACCCGAGGGCUCCUCGUGUCAGUGGUUGCACCCAAUCCCGGCCCUGGCAUCACUGGAGCAGGGGGCUGGCGGUGCCCUGGGGUCCCCGACGGCCCCUGGUCCCAGCAGCCAAGAGGGAUUGGCCGGAACAGGGAUCCCCAUGGUGUGGGAAGGCUCCCACCCACCUGCACCCAACCUGGCUCCCACCCAGCUCUGGCACCAAAAGCACCCCAACACCUGGGCACGGGGAGCCGUGGUGGGACAGCACCGGGAGGCCUGUGCCGGAGGAAAGGGGCGUCCAGCCCACCCCUCCCCCCUCCACUGCAGCUCCCGUCGGGGCUAAUUUUAGCACCAGGAGGAUGUUGAGGACCAUCCAACCGGGAGGUGGAUGCUGCAGUGACUGCCGGUGCCCGGCCACCCCCGUUCCCCACCGAGCUGACGCUGCCAUUGAGCCCAUAUCCCCCGCCAGCCCCUCUGCCGCGGUGCCUUGCCCAGGGAACUCCUGCCCACCCCGCAGACUCCUGCCCACCCCGCUGCCACGGGCGCCCUGCCCCGGCGGGGACCCGGCCUUGACCUUGUCACCCCAACCGAGCACCGCUGUGCCCUGUGCAGGGCCACCCGCCUCAUCGGGUACCGGGGUCCCGCACCCCGCUGUCUCCCACCGCAGCAUCCACCAGCGCAUCCCCCCCGCAAGCAGCGGCCGCCCCCGGUCUCUCCCCGCUCCGCCGCAUCGCCCCGCGAUCCACGCGCUCCCCACCCCGGGCACCCCCGCAGCCCCUCCCGGGGGUCCCGCAGCCCGUCCCGUGGGGUUCCGCAGCCCCGUACCUGCCCCGCAGCCCCUCCCGUGUGCAGCCGCCGGCAGCCGGUCGAGGAGCGCGGCCAGGAGCCGCUCGGGGGGCGCGGGCGCGGCGGGGGCGCAGCCGCAGCCGCAGCAGCACCGGGCGGCGGGCGGCGGCUCCGGGCUCGGCGGCUCCCGGUCCCGGUCCCGGUCCCGGUCCCGGUCCCGGUCCCGGUCCCGGUCCCGGUCCCGAUCGCGGUCGCCGCACGGUGACGGAUCCUCAGGGGAGCGGAGCGGCGCUUCGGGCGGCCGCAGCUCCAGCCAGCGGCCCUCGCCCCCCGGCACCGGCCCCGCGGGCCCCGCCGGCUCCUCCGGGGAGGCGGGCGGGCGCGACAGGCUCUGCCGCCGCGGCGCCGGCACCGACCCCGGCCCCGGUACCUGCCCCGGGGGGACGGCGGGGCGGACGGGCAGGUGCGAGCCCGGCUUCUUCAGCAACUUCUCCAGCGGCUUCAUGGCCGCCCGGGCGCGGCGGCGGCGGCGGCUCAGGGGCCCAUCGGCGGCGGCGGCGGCUCCGUUCGGCUCCGCUCGGGCUCGGGCCGCGGCGCCGCUCCCCGCCCGCCCCGCACCGGCUGCGCGUUGCGCCCGCCCCGCACCGGCCCCGCCGCGGCCCCGCCGCCAGCACCGCCCCGCCCCGUUACGGCCCCGCCGCCGCCGCCCCCGGCACCUGCCCGCCCCUUUCCCCGCACCGCCGCCGCCCCCGGCCCCGCCAACGGCACCUGCCCGCCCCCUCGCCGCACCACCGCACUCGGUACCGAACCCGCCCCGGGGCUGCGGUGACAGCGGCUCGCACCCAGGACACGGUCACCGCCCGCUUCCCCGCAGCCCCGCACAGGUGAUGCAUUACCGGCCCCGCAUCCAUCUCCCCGCAUUCCCCCCUCGCAUCCCCGGGGUACCGCCACGCGCGACCUCCCCACCACACCGUACAGCCUGGGGAGACACCCAGCCCAGAGUCUGUCACCCCCUGCUGUCACACACCGCGGCCGGGGGGCGCAGCCCCACAGCCCCCUGCCAUGUGCUGCCUCACACGCCCGGCACACCCCCGUGCCUGGUCCCCCUCGCACACCCAUACAGCUCCCCCACGCCAGCCCAGGGGCACAUGGCACCGCGCCCCCCCCUCCCCCUACCCAGUGCUGCCGCUCCCCAGUGUCCCCUGCACGGAGGGGCACAUUCCCAGCUAUGGGGUGACCCACCCCCGGACCCCCAGCCCAGCUCUCUGCACCUGCCGCAGUGUGGGAAAGGGCCGGGGGUGGGUGCGAGACCCCCCACCCUGGCAUCCCUGGGGCUGGGUGCCCCCGCGGGCAGGGCGGGCAGGUCGGGGUGGCUGCCAGACCCCCCCUCUGCCGCCUGCCAGGCCGCAACGGGCCCCGGCGUGCCGGGGUAG